UGCUCCAAUCUCUGUCAUUAAUAAGAUGGAAGUCAUGCAUCUGGGAAUGGACACAAACAAGGCCAAAGGGCAUCGCUGCAUGAGUAGAUGGCCCAGCUCCCCGUUUCAUCCACUGAUACACUGGUGCCUCUCCCUCAGCUACACGACCAUCUGACAAUGGAGAGUAAAGCUGCAGCACAGCUCCUCCAUCUAGAAGCCUGGCAGCCGUCCCAGCUGGGUGCUACCUGCCAACACUUUUCUGAAGACCAGCCAGAGUGGGGAGAGAACAGGAGGGCAGGAGGCUGAGGAGGAAGGGAAGAGGAGAUGCAAAUUUAAUUGCAUUGGCCUUCAGCCCCGCCUUAGACCUCCAUGCUGUCAGAGUUAUGGAGAACUAGGAACACCCCACUGGCUGGAAUGGUGGCCUCCCAUGCAGAAGAGUGAUCCCUCAGCCAUUCAGGAGGAAUCUGUUUCCUUAAGCAACCGUCUUGUGUAAAGGUGUGCUUUGGGGACUGAAGGAGAGGACUGACUUCACACAGAAGUAUUGAGAGGAGGGGGCAGAAGCUGAUG